rnacentral:lncRNA from 1 species
CCUCGUCACAAUUUUUUGAAAUAAGAUCCAUGCUCGGCUUAAAUUUUGAGGAAAAAUAUUGGAAUAUAUAUUACCUUUACUUUACUUUAUAAAAUAACCUCACUCAAUUAAUCUUGGAUUUGUUAUUAUAAUUGUAUAUAAAUACAACAUCAAUAAAAAAGACACAAUAAGGAUCAAAGAUCGUUUGCCCAAAAUCUCUAUCUCUUAUUUCCUUUUCUGUAGAAGUGUAUUUUGUAAACUCAAGUUGUGAUUAUAGAGUUGAUUAUUAAGUCUAUUUAUAUAUAGUAUACUUAGUAUUAACAUUUAACAGCUAACAACUAAUUAUAGAGAUAAACGUCGUCGAAGAUGCGAUCUGAGAAUCACGAUCUGGAAAUGCGAUCUGAAUGAAGAUCUGGAAAUGCAGUAUGUGAUUCUGAAAUUAAUGCAAAGAACGCGAUUCUGGAAAUGCUAUCUGGCGAUUUGCGAUCUGGAAAUCUGGCGAUGCAGAUGCGAACGCGAUCUGGCGAUCUCUGAAUGAAGAUCGAUUUGCAAGAACGCGUCAGAUGAGAAACGCGUCGUCGUCGUCGUCUGGAAAUCGCGAGAUGAAAGACACAUACGUCGUCGUCUGGAAAUCGCGAGAUGGAAGACACAUAUGUCGUCGUCGUCUUCCUGUGAUGUUGAAGAAAACGUGAUUCUACAAGAAUGCGAUCGUCAUUGACAGAAAUCUGAUAGCGGAAGAAAAAAAUAAGAGAUGCGUAACCCGCUCUCUGAUACCAUGUAAACUCAAAUUGUGAUUAUCGAGUUGAUCAUUAAGUCUAU